rnacentral:lncRNA from 1 species
GGAACAAAUGCUGUAAUGGACCACAAGGGGUUAAAAUAAUCUCAUAUGGACCUCUUGUCUUUUUAUUUUAAAAAUGAAUUAAAAUUAAAUCAAAAAUAAGAAGAAAAGACCAUGAAGACUAGAAAGUUCUACUUAUUUACUAACCCAACCACUCAUUAUCCUAACCCACUAACCCGAUCCUACUCAAUUCGGAUCCCUAAAUCCCCAAAAACUCUCUUUCUCAAACAUCAUCCCUCUCACGAUUUUCAUCUUCAUCUUCCAUUACUAUUUCUUCAAAAUCAAACUAAAAUCAUGUAACAUCCACCUGAUUCCUCCUUUGUUACUCAAUU